rnacentral:rRNA from 1 species
AGAGUUUGAUCAUGGCUCAGAGCGAACGUUAGCGGCGGGCCUAACACAUGCAAGUCGAGCGAGAAAGGGGCUUCGGCCCUGAGUAAAGCGGCGUACGGGUGAGUAACACGUGGGUAAUCUGCCCUCCAGCGGGGGAUAGCUGUCCGAAAGGACAAUUAAUACCGCAUAAGUCGUCCGGGGCUUCGGGCCUGGACGGGAAAGCUAGCCUCUGGCUGGCACUGGAGGAGGAGCCCGCGGCCCAUCAGCUAGUUGGUAGGGUAACGGCCUACCAAGGCGAAGACGGGUAGCUGGUCUGAGAGGAUGAUCAGCCACACUGGGACUGAGACACGGCCCAGACUCCUACGGGAGGCAGCAGUGGGGAAUAUUGGGCAAUGGGCGCAAGCCUGACCCAGCCACGCCGCGUGAGUGACGAAGGCCUUCGGGUCGUAAAGCUCUGUGGGGAGGGAAGAAACCUCGUUUGUGAAUAGCAGGCGAGCUGACGGUACCUCCUUAGCAAGCACCGGCUAACUCCGUGCCAGCCGCCGCGGUAAUUC